rnacentral:rRNA from 1 species
CCUACGGGAGGCAGCAGUGAGGAAUAUUGGUCAAUGGACGGAAGUCUGAACCAGCCAUGCCGCGUGCAGGAAGACGGCUCUAUGAGUUGUAAACUGCUUUUGUACAAGGGUAAACCUGAAUACGUGUAUUCCGCUGAAAGUACUGUACGAAUAAGGAUCGGCUAACUCCGUGCCAGCAGCCGCGGUAAUACGGAGGAUCCAAGCGUUAUCCGGAUUUAUUGGGUUUAAAGGGUGCGUAGGGGGAGUGGUAAGUUAGGGGGGAAAUGGCCGGGGUUAACUCGGGGACUGCAGUUGAUACUGGUUGUCUAGAGAGUAGGUGAGGUAGGCGGAAUGAGUGGUGUAGCGGUGAAAUGCUUAGAGAU